AGACUCAUUCCCGGGCCUCCGGCUGACCACGGGAAAGGGGAUCUUCAGGAGCGGGUGUCUCAUGGCUGGGAAGAGGACGGCACAGGAGGGCUGGGGAACCCGAAUUGCAGCCUGAAUGGCCAGUGUCCUUUCUCCAGAAUGCAGUUCUCCCUUGCUCAGAAGAAAUGAGUCUGCCAGUGGGUACAACAUGAGAUGAUACUUCCACCCCCAUUGGUGACAGCCCUCACCUAGCUAUCAAGGUAUGCAGGGCUGACUUUUCACCUUCAGCCUGCUCCAGGGAAGGGCCAGAUGGCAUUCAGGCUGAUUCUGUGCUUCUGGCUGACUAAUCUCUCCAGGUACAAGAGUAAACAUGGAACGUGGGGACACCAUAUGUCCCUGACUCAUAGAGCUUGCAGGAAUCACCGUCAUUCUACGUGGCAUCUGCUUUCCUCGGCCGAGGUGGGAGGUGGGUCAAUGUAGCGGAGGAAACGUGUCUUAAAGUACAAGGCAGAGUGAACUGAAACAUAAAGAGAAGUGUGCACCUGGUAGUUGUAUCCUAAAUGACAUUUAUUUUCCAAAUGUGCUUUGUUUUGCUAGACAGUGUUCGACUUCCUUCACUCCUUCCAGGGGCCAGCAUGUGGCUGGCCACUGUCCACCCUCAGGGGUUGUGAACUGAAUUAAAGGGUUGCGUCCUUCAUCCAUUUUCUUUGCUGAACUGUCUUGAAUUUUACCCUAAGUUCAAAAUGAAGCAGACCAUAGCUGAGUUUAAAGGAGAUCCGAUUGACAUUGGGAAGUGGCACCCAAUAAGAUGGCUGUUUCUUCCGCCUGCUCCAGGGCUCGCCAACAGGAGAACUGAAAGCUGAAGCAUCUCAACCUGCAGAUACAUCUCAAAGGCCCCUUCAGCCGAUGUCCUCAGUGCCCUUGACACAGCCCCUUGGCACUUGCCUUCCACACACAUGCUGCUGCACCAGUUUCCUCCUGGUAGCAUCUUCCUUUCCGCCUGAGGAUUUCCCAGGCAUCCUGCCUCCAAGAAAGUCAGAAGUCAGUGCCUUCCUGAGAGCCGGUGAGAGCUCCGUCUCCCUUGGGCAAGUGGUGCUGAUGCCUGUUCCCUGCAUCCAUCUCUCAGAAGCCACAGCAGAACUGAGCUCCAGGGGCCACUGCGAUACACCUUCGCAAUGGUGACCACAAGAAUCCACUCAGCCUUGGAAGCUGUCCUUGAAACUCACCCUGAAAUCCCUGCCUAGCAGACAGGAGACCUCAGGCUGGACUCCACUCACUAUGUUAUCUCGGCCUCCCCGGGACUCUUAGGACACGACUUUCUUAAUCUUUCCAAGGGGCUAAGCUUAACCAAAAGGAAAUACUGCAUAAGAUGUGUGAAUACUUCAAGAUCUGUGGAAUAUGAAGCUGAAAACAGCUCUGUGUUUAGAAAUGGUUACCGUGCAUGUGUCUGUUUCCCCGAACUAGCACCAGAGCCUCGGUUUGAGGGUCUGUAUUUGAUCCUUUUCUCCUUAGAAAAGAGAGACCUUGUUGAAGGAAUGUUCUUUUUCCAGAGGAAAUUUGGGAAACAAAACGGUCACCUUAAAAACAGCAGCACAAGAAAGUUUGUCCUUAAAUUUAAAUUUUCUUUCAAGCCAGGAAUUAAAGCAAAGGUGGGAGUGGAAGAAUCUCUUCAGAUUGUAACUCUUGAAAUUUCCAGGCUAAGGGAAGUCACUGUGGGAGCAUUCGAGCAGAUUGGUGGUCACCACUGGGGAUUCUAGGAAAGACACGUUUCUUCAUGUUUUUAAUCUCAUCCUUUAAUUCCAAUUUCGGUGUAUGUUAUAUGUUUUGUAAGGUAUUCUAACAUUAAAUACGUGUUAUAUGAA
ensembl:lncRNA novel transcript